UUCAUGGAUAAGUAAAACUGAGGCUUGGAGAAGCCCACAUUGACACAGCAAAGAAGGCUGGGGCUCUUGUGCUGGUUAAAUGGACCUUGAUGUCUUCCAAAUGUUUUCAUGCUGGAUUCUGAGCCACUCUCCUGGCUGCAACUCUGAGGCCGGGCAGACUUUCCGCUGGAAAGAGAACUCAAAUACUGGUCCUGGGGACAGGAGGAGGCAGUGCUGGGGUCUUCUCACCUG
rnacentral:lncRNA from 1 species